rnacentral:misc_RNA from 1 species
AACUUGUUUGUUCGACGAGUG